CAGGUCCUAAAAUGAAUCCCAUUUUGAAUAACAUAGUAACCAAGUGCAGGAGAGCUCUGCUGUCACUCCUUGAGGUAUUUUUCUUUUGUUUCAGUAGUCUUACUCGAAUUUGUUUUCAGAGUCAACAACAGUACUGCACAAUUUAACAUCAAGAAUUUUCUGCUGUUGCUGCUUCUGUAACAGCUUGGACUUUUUUUCCCUCUUGAGUUCCUCUGAGAGAAGCAUAUAUAAAAUGAGUAAUUGUCGCUGCUAAAGAAUUGCUGGAGUCAGCAACGCUUCAUAGGAGCUGCAUUUCCUCCUCUCCUCCUUUCCCUCUCACCACAAACUCUCCCCCAUCACUUCCUACCACCCCAAAAAGAUGGGGUGGCUGAGGCACAUAAACAAGUGGCUCUGGAAAUUAACUUUCUUGACCAGAAGAAAGCUCAAAGAUAAAUUCCAUUCUGCAUUACUUUUCCUAUACUUCACUAUGAUCAGGAUUUUUUGUGGUUUCUCUCUCCCUGGAGAGCGACUACCUGAGUGAUAACAUUUCUGACACACAGAAGCUUAAAAACAGAAGGAAAGCACUCUGUGUUAUCUUGUUGGGAAAUCUGUACUCUUAAAUGAUGACCAUUCACCCACAAUCUAGGCCAUUUUUGAGCCACAGGAAAGAGGCCACUUC
rnacentral:lncRNA from 1 species